GGCUACUGAAUUUUUUAGUCUUAUUUAAAAAGAUCUCCUUAUUCAAGGUUUUAGAGGUAUCUGCCCUUGAAUUUUUCUAGGAUUUUUUAUGCUUUUAUUUUCUUAUAUUUAAAUUUAUGACAUCUUUGGAAUUUAUUCUAGCAUGUUCUUUGAUGGGUAUAUCCAGUGUAUCGUUUCCCAGAUGACUUCCUGGUUACAACAGCCUCCGCUAUCUACAAGGGGUGAUCAAAGCAUAAGGUGAGUAUAAAAAUUACUGCAGUAAAAAGCAGAUUGCCAUUAACCCUUCCCAAAACAGUUCCCUUCUCCUUGAACACAUUUAUCCCAUCACUCUUGCCCCUUUCGGCAGCAGUUCUGGAGUCCUCUUUUGCGAGUGUCUGCCAAGAGCAUCCACCAGAAAGUCAGGCCCAUGAAGACAUGACAGUGUGUCCUCAUCCUCUUAUGAUGCCGCUGGAUCUGGCAUCAAAGGGCUUCUGGCUCUUCCCCAAAUCAAACUGAACAUGAAAGGAGACCGUGCAGCUGCUCCCGACAGCCUACAAGACAAAGGCUCAGUGGACAGGAGGACAGCAGGGCCCCCGGGCACUGUGGAAGCACAGACUCUGCAAAUUCCAGUGUGGCAGGUGAGCCACUGAGGGUCCUGGAAGCUGCAGGCUACAAAUACACAGCUGGUUGUUUGUCCAGGAGCCCCAGUGGGGUCUGCAUCUGUCUGGGUCCCAUCCCUGGAAGAACGGAGACCUUCAUGGGGGAGGCCUGUGGUUAUUUUUAGGUUGUUCUUGCCCAGUUGACUUACAGCCACUGACCUCAAGUGUCACAGCCUGCAGCUCAGCUUUGCGGUUGCCCUCUGGAAGGUUUCCAGUCUCAAUGUUUCCUUGAACCUGGGGUGCUCCAAACUGUCUGCGGUCUUCUUACAGGGCUGAAGCAAGGUUACAAUCUGCAGAAUAAAAGACAGCCUUGUUCCCAAUCAAAACCCUCAGUGUUCUACCUCUUUGUGUGCGUUCGCUGCAUCAUGCGCUUUAAAAAAUCCUAUUAGUGGCUGUGUGACAUCAUCUAUUUAUAAGGACUCUGCUGCUCCUUGAUACCCAGACUUUUCCCGGAACUGUUCCUGUCCCUGUCACCCUCCCACUGGUUCUCAGUAUCUACCACAGCAGUGAACUAACAAUCGUUCGGCUGCUCUCCUUCCCCGAGGCUUUGAUGUGCUGAUCCAUUGUCCUUCCCAGGCCAAGACUGCCUGGUUCUGGUCUGUUUUCAGCCUGGAGGAUGGGCCAUUUCAGGUGAGAUCUCUUUGCCUACUGGGACUGCUAAACUCAACCUAUAAAAAAGCAAUACGUGAGGCUGAGUCCGAAUUCAGAGGGCCCCUCUUCCCUGCCCUUACGGG
rnacentral:lncRNA from 1 species